rnacentral:rRNA from 1 species
UACGUAGGGUGCAAGCGUUACUCGGAAUUACUGGGCGUAAAGCGUGCGCAGGCGGUUGUGCAAGUCCGAUGUGAAAUCCCCGGGCUUAACCUGGGAAUGGCAUUGGUGACUGCACGGCUAGAGUGUGUCAGAGGGGGGUAGAAUUCCACGUGUAGCAGUGAAAUGCGUAGAGAUGUGGAGGAAUACCGAUGGCGAAGGCAGCCCCCUGGGAUAACACUGACGCUCAUGCACGAAAGCGUGGGGAGCAAACAGG